GGCGGGACCGCGACACCGCUGUGUUUUGGGGCGGCAGCGGGCUUGCAGCCCGAAGGCUUCGGCGCUCGGCGGCGGGCGGGGGCCUUCACAAAAUGAGAUGCCGUGUCAGUGACAUGAAGAUACCAUAUGGGAUUAAGGAUGGAUCCAGGAAGUUUGGGACCAUAGAGAGCCAGUCUGUCAGGACCAUGUAGUGCAGCUAAUGGAUGUAAAGCUCUGAUUCCACAGGGAACAGAGAAAGAGAGAGUCUCUGAAAUUGGGCGAGAGAGUCUCCAAACUGAAAGGGAGAGUCUCCAGGAGAGAGUCAGAGCUGACAGGGAGAAUCUCCAGGUCCAGAAAAAGAGUCUUCUAGUUGAGAAACAGGAUCUCCAGAUUGAGUGAGAGAGUCUCCAAGAUGAGAAUGAAGGUCUCCAAUCUGAGAGAGAGAAUCUCCAAUCUGAGCGAGAUACACUCCAAUUUGAACAGGAUACCCUCCAAAAUGAGUGAGAUACCUUCCAAUCCAAGCUAGACAGUCUCCAAACUGAAUGAGACAAACUCCAAUCUCAAUGAGACAGCCCCCAAACCACACUCCUAACCAAACAAGACAGACUCCAAGCGGAGCUGGAGAGAAAGAGCAUCAAAACUGACCAACCUGAUCAAUCACACAAAACACCAGAAUCGAUGUCAGUUGCCCACAUGAGAGGAUGUAAGUUGAAACAAGCAUUGCCUCGUUUAGAAUGGAAGGAAGAGGAAGAAGAUUCUGUAAGAGAAGAGGAGAAAAUAGAAGAAAAAGAUCCAGGAGAGUGGCCCCUAUUUCCAGGGGAGGAGCCCUCAACAAGACCAUGGUUGCUGACACGAAGGGGGGCUAAAAGAGAAGAAGAAGGUAAAUAAGACGUUGUCACCAUUACUAUUCAACCUCUGAAAAUGACUGAAAUUUGAGGUUCGAGAAAAUAUUUUUCACCUCCCCUUUUCCCAAGGUGUGGGUCCGUGGAUCCCGCCGCCCCACUAGUCAUGGAACCAGGCUGAACCAUCCCGUAAACCAUUGAAAACGGGUCAUCUUAUCUAGCUCUUUUUUCUUUUCCUUUUCUUCCUUUGAAGGACAAGGGCUGAGCAUUUCCUUGACCAUGAGUCACUUGGACCUGAGAGUUUUUCCAAACAAGUUUGUGUUUUAUGGAGAAACUCCCACUUUUGUAAAGGAACCUGUCUCACCGAGACAAAGUCUUUUAUUAGUUAUGAUCACAUGCAUUUGUGGUCCAGGCAUUUCCUCUUUCCUUGUGCCAAUGGGAGGCAGAAGAACGGGUGACAUUUUUGUUUAAUGCUAGCCAGACUCAACACUAUGCACUAGGUGACGUUCUUCUGUUUUUUGAGUUAAAAUUGCUUAUGCUUCAAGAAGAUGUUAGGCAAUAGCAAGACAUACUGUGCUAGUC
rnacentral:lncRNA from 1 species